CGUAGCGGCGACCGCCGGCAAAAGGCUGGCAACGUGGGAAUGGGAAUGUGACCGUGUACGCAGCGAAACACGUUACAGGAGGGUGUUGUAAGUGUAGCAGAGCCUAGGUGCAUUCGGAUGCCAUGGGGAAUGUCUGCCAGAACAGCAAGAGCAACACCUCAACUGCCUCAAACAGCAAAGAGCAGGGCGCCUCAUGGUGUGAUUCCAGCAUUACUCACCCCAAGGAUCAGGCGCUUCCCCACCCAGUUACAUAUGACCAGGAAAUUACAGGCUGUGCUGCUCCCUGCCUGCUUGAGCGGCUUCCAUAUCAUAUGAUACACACCAGAGCAGCGUGUCUGAUGAAACAGCACAGCAGCGUGUGCUUAGUGAAACGCUAAUGUUUUGUGGAAAAGACGGCCUGGGCUGGGUCAGACUAUCAUUUGGUAUCCUGAAUGCAUGCUCCCUCUUGCACAUCUUGCCAUUAAUUAAAAUACUGGAUAAAAAUGAAAUCCUAAUCUUUAUUGCGCUUGCUGCUCAUUGAUUUUCUUCUGGUAGACUCUACAGCCAGCCCUGUGUGGCUUAAGUGUUGUAAUUCCUCUCUCUCUUACUUCACCCAUCCAAUUUGUGGACAAACUAAUUUUUCUUCACACCCAGUGUUCACAAGAUCUUUGUUCCUAUAGUCAUUGGAUCAAGGGCUCUGCAUCUCUCAUCUUUAUUACAAUAGCAUUCAUAUCCCAGAUCAGAGGUGCACCUCUGCAGUACACAGCAAGUGGAGCUAGAAAGGUCGUCUCUGCAGCACACUGUCGUGUCCCUGGCUUGAAUUUAUCUGCUACUUCCUAUUUAACUGAGUUUAAGGAACUAGUUACAAUGACAGUCACCUGUGCAAGACUGUGCAUUCACCUUUUCCAGUAUGCUUUUCCCUGUUUCCUCCACUAAUAAUGUGAGCUUUUGCUAGCCCUGCCAGUCUCCUCGCACGCUUUCAUGCCAUUCUCUAAUACCCCUCUGCUCCACCUUUUGUAGCAGCAUCUCUACUCAGGUCAGCUUUUUGCAACUAAGGUAGUCUGAUCUCCUGUAGUUUUGUGUUCUAUUGAUUCCAAACACCAGUUAAAAGCUCUUUCUUCCGUGUGUUUUUAGGAGCUGCAGCCUGUGUGAAUUUUCUGAAGUCUGAGAAAAUACAAAGUCCUGUUGCAACCUACUUCUGAACUGAGGAAAAGGGUCUUCUCUUGGUUUUUUGUUUUAAUUCAGUAUAUCUGAACCAGCUUCUCACCCCUCCAAUUUGCUUUUAGUUGACCAAUGUAUCAAAAACCAUACAUGCAUCUGGACAGAGCUAUGAUGUCAUACAUUCUCUCCCCACCAAAGAUCUUGUGAUCACACAAACCUUUCUUUGCAAAACCAGACAUAAAUUGUGACUGCAAAACCCUGUGCUGCUUCUCAUUACACCCCAUCUAUAUUAAUUGUUUUCCUUUCACUAUUGGUCUCUGUGCUUGCCUUUUUAUAUCUUCUGCUCCUGAGGGCAGGGUCUGGGCUCUCUUCUGUUCAUGCAGAGUGUUAAGUGCCUUAUGGGCAUAACAAUUUCAUUAGUUAACAACUACUAACAAUUUGCAUUAGUAUCAUAAGUCCUGCCAUGUCACAUCAGACCACUGCUCCAGCCAGUCAAACAUGUACCUCUAUCUCAUGGUGCUCUGAAUCAAUUUUCCCCCAGUGUGGUAGUGGUUGGACGCCCAAUUCCAGUCUCAUUUUGCAGAGUCUGUCCAAGACUUGCUCGUUCUCAAUGAAUGCAUGGCCCAGCCAACCUUGGAGCUGAGCUCCUGCAUACAGGGACACUCUAGGCUAGUUGAACUUGGUAGCGUAUCUGACAGAGUGACAUUAGCCAAACUGUUCCAAGGCAAGGAUGACAGCUCUGUAAUACUCCCAGCGUGGCAGUGAUCUGGGGUAGACAAAACACAAGGAUUAAGCAGGACUUCUCACUGACCCCAGUCCUUCUGUGCCUCCCAGCACUGGGGGUUGGAACUUCCUUUCACCCAAUUCCCAAUGCCUUUCUGUUUCUUAGAGAUGUCUCUUUUUUCUUUAAAAUACAGUAUUUGCUUCCCUAAUAUAAUGCAGUAGCAAUUUCCACAGUUUAUCCUAUAAUGCUUUGCUUCAAGGAGAGAUAAUAUGUUCUUGAUAAUAUCAACUGAUUUUUUACAUGCUGUAUCAAUCAUACUGAAUUAUGAGGAAAACUGGGAGUCUCCUGGGAGGGUUUGAAGCUUUGCAGUGGAAAGAAUCAGGAAUGUGAGACUUGGGUGAAGAAUUUCAAUUAAAAGGAAGCCAGGAAGACUUUUGAGACAGGGUGGACACCUGUAUUAUAUUCUAAGAAAUAUUUUUUGUUUGUGUAUCUUAUAUUUCAUAUCCUGCACAAAGCCUUUUUCAGCAGAGAAUGCUAUACUGAGAAUCAGCAGAUGGAUGAUUCAGCACAAAAAAUAACACAUUCAGGAGGGGGGAAAUGAGCUACUCCUUGAACAUUGUUCAUUUAUCUACUGUUUGGUCUUUGCAGCAUGACUGUCAUCCUGCCUAGGGAUGGGAAGGCAGUUUCAGGCAAUGAAAGCAGUAUGAGAAAGGAGAUGGGACAAGACUGCAUUGCCACUUGGGAAGAUUGCAGGGAUGAUUGAAACUGCUGUUGAACUGGGAAGAGCCAGAAACUGAACUGCUCAUUGUAUGCAGCUGGAAGCCAUGGUGAACAUUAUGCAAAGGUCUUCUACUGAGAUGACUCUGGUCACUGUUCCUUCCAUGGCAGCUGGUCCCUGUAAGACACUGUACCCUCAACAGCCCUUACAAAGGUGGCUGAAGACCUGAAAGAAAUGCUGGUGCACUUCAUGUUUAUGAUGUACUGUCCCAGGAGUUUUGUGAGAUUAACAGCUUGUAAAUGAUGGCAUACCGAGAAUAAGUUUUCUGUUGGCACUCUUGGGCAAUAUAUAUGAAGAAAAUGUGCAUCUUAGUACAGGCACACUUAAACCAUAUGAAGGAGACCUGUAUUUUUGGAAUGACAGGUCCUCCUCCAUGUCUGGAGCAUGACCUAGUUGGUGACUGAGAUGUCUGUUGUUUAUAGGCAAUGAUUUCUCAGAAACAAAUCAACUAAAUGAACAAACUGGGUGAUAAAGUAGAACUAAGAACUGCAUCGUCCUCCUCAGAGUCAUAAAAAUUCAUCCCUUUUACAACUGCUGAGUGCUUUGCCAAUAUCAUGCCAAGGUGAGAGCAGUGGGGGGAAGGGAAGGAUAUUGAAAAGGAAAAUAAAUAGGCCAGGUAAACAGUGCUGCUGCUGCUGCUGCUGCUGCUGCAGCCGUGGUUGGCAUGGCAACCGGGGUGAAAAGGAGGAGGAGGAGGGGGGAGGCGGAUUGAUCGAUAGUCCUGUGCUGGCUCAUCUGGCUUCCAUCCACGUGCUACUACAGAGGGAGAGAAAAUCAAAGAGCCACACGCAGGAUGGCCAGGUCUCCAAUUCAAUCCAUGGCAGCAGCUUGAUCAAUAACUUGUUGGAAGGUAAAGGAUCUCCACAUCUCCUUGACACACGCUCCAAAAGAGGCAAUGUUGAGGAUCCAGCCAGGCUGCACCUGCCUUCCCAGGCAUGCUCAAACACAGCCUAGGAUUGCACAUCUUCAAGGGAGAGCAGGGUGGGGUUCCUUCAAAUGACAGAACCUUCUGCAAGGAAGAAGCUUCAAGCUGUAACUUGCAAAAUAUGUACUGUAAAAAUCCAGCCAUCAGAACACAGAAGAUCUAUGCAGAGACCUGCAACUGAUCACGCAAAAACCUGAAAGGAGCUGCUCUUUGUACUAAGCAUGUGCAGUGCAGUUCUCAAGAAAUGCUGUCAUCAGUUCUAGCAUGAGGAAAGACAGGUACAAAAGAGCAUGAGAAUUUCUGCAUUGCUUCCUGGUAUUUAACUGUCACACAAGCCACUGGACAUUCUAUCAAGGCUGCUGACUAAUGAAUCAAUCUUAGGCCACGGGUCCUUGUUAGCAGAAUGUGACUAGAUAUCCACAGAUCACACAGCUGAUAUUGCCCUUGAUGCCCGCACCUCUUGCUGCCUCCCCUCCAGCAGAAAUGGCGCAGUGAGCACAGCUGAAUGAGUGCAGUUGGAUUAACAGAAAAGUUGAUUGCUGAAUGGGAGGGUGAAGAGCUGGGUGUUGGAGUCAGAGAACCAUUCAAAACCACAGCAAAUGUUUGCCAAAAAUUAGUAUAUAUACUUAGCAAAGUACAGCCCUUGAAAGGCUGCAUCUUUUUGAUAAGAUACACAGUAUAAUCUUUAAUUGCAGGAGAUGGGAUACAAUAAAUGUGCCAACUGGCCCUUCUUAUCAAUUCAGUCUGAAUUCUUCAGGGAGGAAUUAUCUUUACAUGUAACAGGGAGUCAAGAACAUCAACAAUA